rnacentral:rRNA from 1 species
CCUACGGGGGGCAGCAGUCGAGAAUCAUUCACAAUGGGGGAAACCCUGAUGGUGCGACGCCGCGUGGGGGAAUGAAGGUCUUCGGAUUGUAAACUGUUUUAGACAGGGAAGAAAAAAGACAGUACCUGUAGAAUAAGCUCCGGCUAACUACGUGCCAGCAGCCGCGGUAAUACGUAGGGAGCAAGCGUUAUCCGGAUUUAUUGGGUGUAAAGGGUGCGUAGACGGAGAAGCAAGUUAGUUGUGAAAUCCCUCGGCUUAACUGAGGAACUGCAACUAAAACUACUUCCCUUGAGUACUGGAGAGGAAAGUGGAAUUCCUAGUGUAGCGGUGAAAUGCGUAGAUAUUAGGAGGAACACCAGUGGCGAAGGCGACUUUCUGGACAGUAACUGACGUUGAGGCACGAAAGUGUGGGGAGCAAACAGGAUUAGAUACCCUAGUAGUC